UACGGGGGGGGCAAGCGUUGUUCGGAAUUACUGGGCGUAAAGGGCGCGUAGGCGGUUCGCUAAGUUAGAUGUGAAAACUCUGGGCUCAACCCAGAGCCUGCAUCUAAUACUGACGGGCUAGAGUUCUGGAGGGGGUAGCGGAAUUCCUGGUGUAGCGGUGAAAUGCGUAGAUAUCAGGAGGAACACCGGUGGCGAAGGCGGCUACCUGGACAGAAACUGACGCUGAGGCGCGAAAGCUAGGGGAGCAAACAGG
rnacentral:rRNA from 1 species